AGAGGUUUAAACAGGGUCACCGUCUCAUCUACAGAGGUUAUAACAGGGUCACCGUCUCAUCUACAGAGGUUAUAACAGGGUCACCGCUCAUCUCAGAGGUUAUAACAGGGUCACCGUCUCAUCUACAGAGGUUAUGAAGGGUCACCGUCUCAUCUACAAGGUUAUAACAGGGUCACCGUCUCAUCUAGAGAGGUUAUGACAGGGUCACGGUCUCAUCUAGAGGUUAUAACAGGGUCAUCGUCUCAUCUAGAGGUUAUAACAGGGUCACCGUCUCAUCUAGAGGUUAUAACAGGGUCACCGUCUCAUCUACAGAGGUUAUGACAGGGUCACCGUCUCAUCUACAGAGUUAUAACAGGGUCACCGUCUCAUCUACAGAGGUUUUAACAGGGUCACCGUCUCAUCUACAGAGGUUAUAACAGGGUCACCGUCUCAUCUACAGAGUGUUAUAACAGGGUCACCGUCUCAUCUACAGAGGUUAUAACAGGGUCACAGUCUCAUCUACAGAGGUUAUAACAGGGUCACCGUCUCAUCUACAGAGGUUAUGACAGGGUCACCGUCUCAUCUACAAAGGUUAUAACAGGU
rnacentral:lncRNA from 1 species